ensembl:lncRNA
CCUGGCUAGGGGGAGGAGGAGAGAGCCCACCUCCAGAGGCCUUCUAUGAGAUGCACCAGCUUCUGGCUCAUCUAACUAAUGAAGCUCUGGGCUAAGAAGCCCCAGGACCAUGUUAGUGGCAACAUCCGGGAGUACUUGGGGAUGGAACGCCAGAAUGGCCAGGCUGACUUCAGGCUGGUAUGAGCCCACAUCCUGGGGGUGCCUCCCAUCCACCUGGAGCACAGGCUUAAUCAUCUGCAGGAACAAGAAUUCCUGGAUAAGACUCCUCAGGGAGCCAAAUCCCUGCAGGCUCCCUCACAGCGGUCUUGCAUUUCCUCUCCUGGAUGAAAUCCAGCUUUGAGAGCUCAAAGACAGCUCUCUGGGGGCUGCCCCCAGAGUCAGGGGCAGUGUGGCAGCCAUGUUACCCAUGGGCAUCAACCAUUCCCCACUACCCCACUGAAGAAUGGACCAGCACACACCCACACACCCUGAUCGUCUUCCCAAGGGACUUUGCCGACUAGAGGGGCUGUUGAUUUCACAAAUCCUCUUUAAGUAGGAAAUACGUAUUUCCAUGAGAGUUUUAUUUCUGUCAGUGGGUAGAAAUGGAAUUCUUUCCUUUAAUUAUCUUCACAGUGAAGAUGACCUCUGAAAUUUACAAGGGUUCUAAGUAAGACUCUGAGAGAACACAUUUCAGACAAGCUAUUGCCUUUCUUUGGAAAGGGAAGCUGGGGCUGUGUUUAGGAUUAGGGGAGUGGGAAUGGGGAGAAUUCUUUCAUUCUGGGAAUGAGUGGUUUAAUUUCAGAAGCCUCCAGGGCUUUGUAUUUUCUAUACUGUUCUAGUAUAGGUUAUGGUUUAAGCUGUUGCUAUGAUAACAAGAAACUGUUGUAGCAGAAAUUAUCUGAAGUGUUUCCUCCCAAUGGGUAGAAGAAAGUGGUGCCUUUUAUAAAGGAAUGAAUCCUUCUGGUGUGUCUCUGCUAUGAAGGGACAUAUGGGUAGUGCUGGCUUUCCUGAUACUUGAGGAAAAGGCAAAGAUGUUUUAAGAAAGUGUCCUUAUGAGGUCAUCCCUUGGAAUGCUGAGAGGGACUUGGUUAAUAACAAUAAAAAUUGAUUAACUGUUUCUGUGCCUUAUGUG